rnacentral:rRNA from 1 species
CAAGACAACUUUACGGAGUUGACGAUUGACGGAGCGAAGCGACGUCAAAGCGUUCAUUAAAGUCGAGUUGGCUUAGGGAUACGUUCGUUGGGUAGGGGAGCGUUCUGUAAGCCUGUGAAGGUGUGUCGUGAGGCAUGCUGGAGGUAUCAGAAGUGCGAAUGCUGACAUAAGUAACGAUAAAGCGGGUGAAAAGCCCGCUCGCCGGAAGACCAAGGGUUCCUGUCCAACGUUAAUCGGGGCAGGGUGAGUCGACCCCUAAGGCGAGGCCGAAAGGCGUAGUCGAUGGGAAACGGGUUAAUAUUCCCGUACUUGGUGUUACUGCGAAGGGGGGACGGAGAAGGCUAUGUUGGCCGGGCGACGGUUGUCCCGGUUUAAGCGUGUAGGUGUGUGUUCCAGGUAAAUCCGGUUCACUUUAACACUGAGGCGUGAUGACGAGGCACUACGGUGCUGAAGCAACAAAUGCCCUGCUUCCAGGAAAAGCCUCUAAGCAUCAGGUAACAUCAAAUCGU